rnacentral:rRNA from 1 species
AGUGAACGCUGGCGGUAGGCCUAACACAUGCCAGUCGAACGGCAGCACAGUAAGAGCUUGCUCUUACUGGUGGCGAGUGGCGGACGGGUGAGGAAUACAUCGGAAUCUACUUUUUCGUGGGGGAUAACGUAGGGAAACUUACGCUAAUACCGCAUACGACCUACGGGUGAAAGCAGGGGAUCUUCGGACCUUGCGCGAUUGAAUGAGCCGAUGUCGGAUUAGCUAGUUGGCGGGGUAAAGGCACACCAAGGCGACGAUCCGUAGCUGGUCUGAGAGGAUGGGCAGCCACACUGGCACUGAGACACGGUACAGACCUAUACGGGAGGCAGCAGUGGGGAAUAUUGGACAAUGGGCGCAAGUCUGAUACAGCCAUAGCGCGUGGGUGAAGAAGGCCUUCGGGUUGUAAAGCCCUUUUGUUGGGAAAGAAAAGCAGCAGGUUAAUACGCCGCUGUUCUGACGGUACACAAAGAAUAAGCACCGGCUAACUGCG